CGGGUGCCGUGGUGCUUCGUUACAUAGGGACGCGGGUGCUGUGGUGGUUCGUUACAUAGGUACACGUGUGCAAUGGUGCUUUGUUACAUAGAAGAGGAAGAGACCAAGUACUGUCCUCUAUGGGAGGGCAUGGCAGGAAGCCACCAUCUGAGCCCAGAAGUGGGUCCUCACCUGACACUGCCGUCACCUCCGCGCUGGACCUGCAGCCUCCAGAACUGUGAGAAAUGAAUUCUGCUGUUCAUUUAUGGGCCCCCCAGUCUAUGGAUUUUGUUUUAUGAGCCCCA
rnacentral:lncRNA from 1 species